rnacentral:rRNA from 1 species
GACGAACCGUACAAACGUUAUUCGGAAUUACUGGGCUUAAAGGGUGCGUAGGCGGCGCUGAAAGUUGGGUGUGAAAUGCCUCGGCUCAACCGAGGAAUGGCGCCCAAAACUACAGUGCUCGAGGGAGACAGAGGUGAGCGGAACUUAGGGUGGAGCGGUGAAAUGCGUUGAUAUCCUAAGGAACACCGGUGGCGAAAGCGGCUCACUGGGUCUCUUCUGACGCUGAGGCACGAAAGCUAGGGUAGCGAACGGG